AUUGAACGCUGGCGGAAUGCUUUACACAUGCAAGUCGAACGGCAGCACGGGGGCAACCCUGGUGGCGAGUGGCGAACGGGUGAGUAAUACAUCGGAACGUGCCCAGUCGUGGGGGAUAACGUAGCGAAAGUUACGCUAAUACCGCAUACGAUCUACGGAUGAAAGCGGGGGACCGUAAGGCCUCGCGCGAUUGGAGCGGCCGAUGUCAGAUUAGGUAGUUGGUGAGGUAAAGGCUCACCAAGCCGACGAUCUGUAGCUGGUCUGAGAGGACGACCAGCCACACUGGGACUGGGACACGGCCCAGACUCCUACGGGAGGCAGCAGUGGGGAAUUUUGGACAAUGGGCGCAAGCCUGAGCCAGCCAUUCCGCGUGCAGGACGAAGGCCUUCGGGUUGUAAACUGCUUUUGUACGGAACGAAAGGGCUCUGGUUAAUACCUGGGGCUCAUGACGGUACCGUAAGAAUAAGCACCGGCUAACUACGUGCCAGCCGCCGCGGUAA
rnacentral:rRNA from 1 species